rnacentral:rRNA from 1 species
UGAGGAAUAUUGCGCAAUGGGCGAAAGCCUGACGCAGCGACGCCGCGUGGAGGAUGAAGGUUUUCGGAUUGUAAACUCCUGUUAAGUGGGAAGAAACGACAAAAUAUAAUACAUUUUUGUAACUGACGGUACCAUUAAAGAAAGCACCGGCUAACUUCGUGCCAGCAGCCGCGGUAAUAUGAGGGGUGCAAGCGUUAUUCGGAAUUAUUGGGCGUAAAGGGUGCGUAGGCGGCGUAUUAAGUCAACUGUUAAAACCUCCAGCCUAACUGGAGAUCAGCAGUAGAUACUGGUAUGCUAGAGGAUGGAAGAGAGAAGUGGAAUUCUUGGAGUAGCGGUGGAAUGCGUAGAUCUCAAGAGGAACACCAAUGGCGAAGGCAGCUUCUUGGUCCAUAUCUGACGCUGAUGCACGAAAGCGUGGGGAGCAACCAGGAUUAGAUACCCUGGUAGUCCACGCCGUAAACGAUGAUCACUAGAUGUUAAUUCUGCUUGCAGAAUUAGUGUCGUAGCUAACGCGAUAAGUGAUCCGCCUGGGGGACUACGGUCGCAAGAUU